rnacentral:rRNA from 1 species
AACGAACGCUGGCGGCGCGUCUUAAGCAUGCAAGUCGAACGGUAAGGGAGAGCUUGCUCUCCCCUAGAGUGGCGGACUGGUGAGUAACGCGUGGGUGACCUGCCCUGAAGAUGGGGAUAGCUAGUAGAAAUAUUAGAUAAUACCGAAUGUGCUCAUUUACAUAAAGGUAAAUGAGGAAAGGAGCUACGGCUCCGCUUCAGGAUGGGCCCGCGUCCCAUUAGCUGGUUGGUGAGGUAAAGGCCCACCAAGGCAACGAUGGGUAUCCGGCCUGAGAGGGUGAACGGACACAUUGGGACUGAGAUACGGCCCAAACUCCUACGGGAGGCAGCAGCUAAGAAUCUUCCGCAAUGGACGAAAGUCUGACGGAGCGACGCCGUGUGAAUGAAGAAGGCCGAAAGGUUGUAAAAUUCUUUUGCAGAUGAAGAAUAAGAAGAAGAGGGAAUGCUUCUUUGAUGACGGUAGUCAUGCGAAUAAGC